CAUCUGGUUUUAAGGAAGAGGUUGGAGAUAUUGAAGGUGAUGUCCCUCUGGAAUAGCGAUUGCGAAGGUCAACUUCUGAUGCUUUGUGAGAUAUGGUUGGCGGUGAAGAGCUUUCUUUGUAUGGUUUGGCCCCAAAUAACAAUGAAUCAGCACAGAUGGUGUACCAUUCUAUAAAAGACUUUCUUGUUUGCAGUGAGAGACUCAUUAACUAAUGUUGGCCC